UGAGGAAUAUUGGUCAAUGGGCGGGAGCCUGAACCAGCCAAGCCGCGUGAGGGAGGAAGGCCCUAUGGGUCGUAAACCUCUUUUGUCAGGGAACAAAAGCGAGUAUGUAUACUAGUCUGAGCGUACCUGAAGAAAAAGCAUCGGCUAACUCCGUGCCAGCAGCCGCGGUAAUACGGAGGAUGCGAGCGUUAUCCGGAUUUAUUGGGUUUAAAGGGUGCGUAGGCGGCGGUGCAAGUCAGCGGUAAAAGCCCGGGGCUCAACCCCGGCGAGCCGUUGAAACUGCAGUGCUAGAGAAGGCGAGAGGUACGCGGAAUGCGCAGUGUAGCGGUGAAAUGCUUAGAUAUUGCGCAGAACUCCGAUUGCGAAGGCAGCGUACUGGCGCCUGACUGACGCUGAGGCACGAAAGCGUGGGGAUCGAACAGGAUUAGAUACCC
rnacentral:rRNA from 1 species